AUGGUGGAUCAUGAAAUCGUGUGCUGCAUGUGCGGUGACGUUGGUUUCUCUGACAAACUCUUCCGAUGCAACAAAUGUCACCACCGAUUCCAACACUCGUAUUGUAGUAACUUCUAUGGUGACCUAAGUGAGAUUGAAGAGUGCGAUUGGUGUCAAAGCAAAGGUAAAAGCAGUGUUGGCUUCAAGAAACCGGCGGUGACGAUCAACCGUCGUUCUGGAUGUUCCGGCGAGAAGCAUCGGGAGGAGAAUUGUUCGGAGAAGAGGAAGAGUCCGGUGGCGUCACCGAGACAAGCAACACGCAGGUAUAAGCUUCUUAAAGACGUAAUGUGUUGA